UACAGAGGUCUCAAGCGUUGUUCGGAUUCAUUGGGCGUAAAGGGUGCGUAGGUGGCGCGCUAAGUCAGGUGUGAAAUUUCGGAGCUUAACUCCGAAACUGCAUUUGAUACUGGCGUGCUUGAGGACUGGAGAGGAGACUGGAAUUCAUGGUGUAGCAGUGAAAUGCGUAGAGAUCAUGAGGAAGACCAGUGGCGAAGGCGGGUCUCUGGACAGCUCCUGACACUGAGGCACGAAGGCCAGGGGAGCAAACGGG
rnacentral:rRNA from 1 species